rfam:Triticum aestivum genome assembly, contig: Triticum_aestivum_CS42_TGACv1_scaffold_147645_2BS
UAAUUACUUCCUUCGUCCGAAAAAACUUGUCUUUUAAAUGGAUGUAUCUAGCACUAACUUGGUACGAGAUACAUCCAUUUGAAAGACAAACUUAGGACAAGUUUUUUUGGACAGAGGGAGUAUAAA